rnacentral:lncRNA from 1 species
CAAAUCUCAAUCGUUCUUUUUCACCGAAAUCGUUGAAUUGAAAUCGCUCGCAACCUUGCUAUUCGCUUGUGUCGUCCCUGCCUGCUGCCACUGCAUUCUCCAGGCUCCGACAUGAUGUAAUCACACCAGUCCCCGUAGGAAAUUUUCUAUAUAUCUAUCAAGUUGCUCGUACAUUCAGUUAGUACCUUCUCUUAUUGCUGCUGAUUUUUUGGGGUGUUUGAUGAUGUUUCUCAAAUUGGUUUUGGGCUAUCUGGGGAUGGGCAAUCUGGUUUUGCUGUACGGGGGUGGAGAUUGUGCCUUGCGGUGGGUGUAAUUAGUUAUCAGUUAAUUUGGAAAUUUAUUGUAGGCCUGUUUUCGUUUAAUCUUAGUUAGUUGAAAUAAUAUCGGGGAUUUGAUGAUCUUAGAUAGCUUUUGAAGGUGCUUAUUUGGCAUUUUCUAAAGUUCAUUUCAGAGUCAGUUUUGCAUAUAUUUCGAAUAAUUUAUUUAUUCUUUAAACUAGGAUUAUAAAUGAUGCUUAAAUAGUCUUGAAAAUGAGUUUUGGCAACUGAUAUCUUGAAAUACAAUGGAAAUGCAAACUUCCAUUUUUCUGUUGUUUUUGGGCUGUCAUGCUGUUUUCAGCAAUAUUUCAUCUAUAACUAUAAUGGUUUUUGACAAUUUAGUUGGUGGAAAGUCGACUGAGUGGGUGCGUUGGGUAGUAUUUCAAUGAUAGUUAUCGUUUCUAAAGAAAAAUGGGAAAUCAAUGAAAGCAAUCAGAGAAAGAAACUACCUCUUAAAAAAUGAGUAAUUCAUUCUCUGCAAGGUUUUUGUUGUCGUUUUUAUCUUCUCUCUAGCCUGCCGUGCCAAAUCUCUGGCCUUUAAACCACCUUAUGAGCUGCCAGAUUCCGGAACUUCAUCAGGCAUGACUUUCUGAGUUGAUCCAUUAGAUAUAAAUCUGAGUUGAACCCUCUCCAAUGCUGGUUUUUCUUCAUCAAUGUAGAUAUGCAGGAGAUGCUGGCCGAAUCAACCAACAACCUUACUAAUAUGAGGGCCAAGGAGAGCGCCCUCAACGAGAAUUCACAUUGCUCGCAUUAUGGCCAAGCCAAAUUCUACCGUCCAAAGGUUUUAAGGUAAAUUCAUCGUUAUUCAUUCGUCAUUCAUGCGUGUUUCAAUCAAACAAGAGCUUACCGAGAAAAUAGAUCUAGAUUUCAUUGUAGACAAAUACCAUGUUUCAAAUCCUUGUCGAAAAUGACUUGUAAAUGAUGUCCCCUUUUAACGACUUUUUGUUUAUAUAUAAAUUUUAUUACAUUGACUUUCUUAAAAAUCCUGGAACCGUCCAUGGUUGCAAUGGGACGACUUUAAAAAAAUUCAUCUAUGGAUCAUCGCAAAGUAUCCAAAAUCACGUUACUUCAAGAAGUAAACAUGAACAGCUGGAAUUAUCAAUGCUGUGUUAACAAAAGAUCGUGGGUGGGUGGGUGCUUUUGAGGAAUAUUUUUUGAGGCUUGAAAAAAUUUGCAUGGAGAAUAAUUAUCUUCAAAUUGAAGGCUUACAAAGUGUUGAACUAUAUUUUUGCCACCCAAUAUGAUAUCAAAAGUCCAACCGUGUGAUGUGGGGAUAAUAAUAGCUUUCAAGAUGCAUUAGAUGAUUUUAUCAUAGAAUUUUGGAGGGCUAUGAAAUGGAGCAAAUUAACACUACAAGAAAAUGACAUUUUGCAACAUAUAAAAGGCAAUAUUCAUUAAUUGCAUUUUGCUAAAAGUGAUCUAUCACAACAAUCAAUAAGUGUUUAUUGCCACUGAUUAACUUGAUUGAGUGCAAAGUUCUUUUAAUGCAUGUUUUGUUAACGUGUCCUUUUGCAACGUUUAUCGUCCGUUGUAAAUAGUUUACAUAUUUUGCAUUUUUUCAUUGUUCAUUGAGCGCUUACAAAUCUUUCUUCUUGAGCGAUGAUCAUUGGAUGUUGUUAAAUGUUAGCUUUGACAACGGGCAAUGACCGUUGUUGAAAGCGUAUUUUGCAACGUCCAAUGCUCGUUGCAAUAAAAAACCAACCCAAAUUUAAUUUCAAAUCAACCUGACCCCGUUAACUAAAAAUAUUAUAAAAAUUUAAUUUUAAAAAAAUAUAAAAACCCUAAAAUUGAAAUCAAAUUACCUUAUGCCAUUUAGCCACUGUUUUGGCUCCAUUAUAAUGUUAAUACAUUUUUCUCUUUCUUUUUUUUGACCACACAUUCUUUGAUAAAAUAAUAUUACACUUAAAUUCAAAACUUCUCAUUUUUUUUUAACCACACAUUCUUAAAAAAAUUACUAUUCCAAUAUUCAUUUUCCCAAAAUUCAUUAAAAUGGAGCCCAAACAAGGGCUUACGCCUCUGCCUCUCCUCAUUGCUGCUCCUUCAACAAUAAGCUGAAAUGACAUAGAAUACAGCCUCCAAACGGAGAAAUACUAGGGUAUGACCUACGUGAUGUGACUAUUUAAUGAGAAGCCACCACCUCAUUUGAUGGCCCAACUUCACCUAAUGAGAUAAGGCCACUUUGAAACUUGAUUUAGGAUGGUAUGACCGUCCUACCCAAGUAUCUCUCCUCCAAUUGGGGCGAUGGUAAACCCAAGAAACCCAAUAAUCUAUUUUCCAUUCCAGAAUCUUCUCUAAUUUUUUAUUCUAUACUAUAAUAUCUGGUCCGUUUGUUCUGAUCUAUUGGGUUUAGUAGCUUCUGCAAUCACGGGAGGAGGAUGACGUAUCAUCAGUGGCCAAUGUGCUUUGUGAUUCUAUGUGGUCUUGGAUGCGGAUGGAUAAACUUCAUUCGGAGUAAGUUUAUAUAGACUUCAUUCGAAGUAAGUUAUCUACUUAUAAACUUCAUUCUGAGUAAGUUAUCGACUUUUCUAACAUCUUCUAUCAUAUUAUUUCAAUCCACGUCAAACAUGUGCAUAACUCGAAGAGGAACCGAUCUCUAUGUCUAUCGUGUAGUUCUGUGUAAUACUCCGCUUUUGUUUCCUUUUUCUAUUGCUCUGUGUCUGUGAGAUUGGAAGUGAUUCUAGACUUGCAUAAUGAAUUCCAUCUCAAAAAAAUGAUGUGCUAUUCCCAUUUGUUUUGUGGAGCAGAUAAAUCACACCUUAAUAACCUCCUGUUAAGAGACUUUUUGGCGGCUAAAUACAUUAUUUGUCAAUUUCUCUGCUCCAUGCUUCAUGUUUCCCUUUGUUGGUGGGGAGAGGGGUUUAAAGAGGACCAGAUCUGUCAGAUUUUCCAUAUCAAAUCCUUGAUUAUUGAAUUUUCGAAUUUUAUGGAGGUUUCUUUUUUGGCAGCUCCUAGCUAUUAAGCAAUUGGAUAGGAAUGGGCUUCAGGUAACAGAGAAUUUUUGGUAGUCUAUAUAAACUAACUUUUGAAUAUCAGCUUUACAUCAACUCUAAUAUAUCUGUGGCAAAUCCAAGUAAUUUAUUCUUCCUGCUUCUGCUCUCAAUUGCGAGCAUGAACAUGCAUCAGUCGAUUAUGUUUACAUUUUUUCACUUGCUCUUGUUUUGUUUUUCAAAUAAAUUGCCAUUCCCUUUUUUCUGAUAAUCAUUACAUUCAUUUUUGUUGUAAUCUCAUAAUGUAUUUGUAAUACACAAUUAACUCUUUAUACAUGCAUAUUUAUAUAUCUCUAUAUGUAAUAUCUAUAUUGAUUUUCCAGCUCAAUCAAUGCCUAGUAAUUGCACUGAGUUUCAGUAUAGCAAUUUUUCCUCCAGUUAUGGAAAUGGAAUUGAGAGCUUGCAUUUGGGUUUGACAAUCAACCAAACAACACUUAAGCUGGGAGAAAAAGAGGUAAUAUCUUUCUAUUUUAGCAUUUGAAUGCAUAAAUAAAUGUAGGAUUUUUUAUAUAUGAGAUAAAGUCAAUGAUUAAGUACAUUUGGCUGGAAAUUUGUUCAUCCUUGUGUAAAAUGAAUUUGAUAUGUUAUGAGUGCAAAUGAACAGAAGUGAUAGCUCUAUUUUGCAGGACAAAAAGAUUCAUUUAGGCAACCAAGAGUUCGAUCAGAAUAAAACUUAGCUUGUUAUUUGUUGUUAUUGUGGUGUUCUUGGAUUAGAUGAUAGUGACUAGUGAGAAGUUUUCCUCUUAUCAUUUAUUUGGGAGCACAAAGCCUAAAUCAGGAUUAGAUGAUAGCUUACCCAG